GUGAGGAAUUUUCCGCAAUGGGCGAAAGCCUGACGGAGCAAUGCCGCGGGAAGGAUGAAGGCCUAUGGGUUGUAAACUUCUUUUCUCAGAAAAGAAUUAUGACGGUAUCUGAGGAAUAAGCAUCGGCUAACUCUGUGCCAGCAGCCGCGGUAAGACAGAGGAUGCAAGCGUUAUCCGGAUUGAUUGGGCGUAACGCGUCUGUAGGUUGUUUAAAAAGUAUUCUGUCAAAGAUUAGGGCUUAACCCUAGAUAGGCAGAAUAAACUUUUAAGCUAGAGUUUGGUAGAGGUAGAGGGACUGCCCGGUGGAGCAGUGAAAUGCGUAGAUAUCGAGAGGAACACCAAAGGCGAAGGCACUCUGCUGGGCCAAUACUAACACUGAGAGACGAAAGCGAGGGGAGCAAAUGGGAGUAGAUACCCCAGUAGUCC
rnacentral:rRNA from 1 species